AAUUAACUUCGGGAUUAGGUGAAAUUCCUAACCGGCGGUGAUAUCUCUCUUGCGAGGUUUAGCCCGCUAGCUGUUAAGAUUAACAGUUGAUUUGGUAAGAAUCCAAAGCCGACAGUAAAGUCUGGAAGAGAGAAGUAGAUU
rnacentral:ncRNA from 1 species